GGGGACCGCAACAGGUGAGCGCGCAGUUUUGCUGUUGUGGCCAGAGCUUACAGUACGCGAAGCGGGAACGCUUGAGAACGAAACACGUCAGAGCCCCACCACCAACACAAGCCAGAGCGCGCCUUUAAGCCAGCUUGAGCCGAGUCAAGCUUUUGGCUCUGAAUAAUUUUAGUGUGAGUGUUUUUUGUUGCUGGGUGUGCCGCCGCAGUGCGACGUGAACGGGCGAGCGGCCAACACGUAAGCGGCGCGUUGUGCAGUGUGAACGAAAGUGUAAGAGAAACAGACGACAAUAAGCAGCAGCAGCAACAGCAGCAACUCAGGUGUGAAUUGAUAUUGAGGUUAUGUAAGCGUCAGGCCAUAAAAACGCGAAAACAAAACACUGCUGCAUUGCCCAGGCCAGGCCACACACACGUUUGUCAAUAAUUCAAGGCACGCGCUUUGUCCCCCGCACCACCCAACCACCUGGAGAUAUUUGUAUUCCAAAUGGACGACUCCAAGGCGCAGUCGCAGCCGCAGCAGCAGCAAACCCAUCCUUUGGAAGAUGUUUCCCUAAAUGAGAAUGAUGACGACAAACAGACGCCCAAAAAUUGGGUUAAAUUCGAUGAUGAGGGAGAUGGCGGUGAAAAAAAUAAUAACAGUAACGGCAGCGAUGCCACACAACAACAAGAACAGCAGCAGCAGCCGCCACAGCCGCAGCAGCGGCAAAACAAGUUAGCUCUGCCGCCGCCACCGUCGGUUGUGAGCAGCAACAACAACAGGCGGGCGCGCUCGCGCAGUCCGAAUGAGCAAUCGACAACACCAACAACAACAACACCUGUCCAGCGCUCAGCCGUUUCCUCGACAACAGCUGCAGCUCCAGUACCAGUACCAGUUCCAGUCCCGGCAUCAGCCACAGCCUCGUUGCCGGAUGUGGCGCCCGCUGUUUUGACAACUGAGAGUACGCACGUUAAUCUGAGUGCAUCCGGCAGUGGCAUUGUCAGUGGCAACGUUGCCAGCGGGGCGAGCGGCUCCAGUCCGGCCCGGCACCCCCAGAAGCUAAUAAACCAAAAAGCAACUGUAGCCUCAGCAUCCUCCAUCCCGGCACCAGCCUCUUCCUCCAGCCACCACAACGGCAACGGGUCCCAUGGGAGCACCAGCAUACCCAUGGAUCAGGGCUCCGGCAUGCGCACAAUUGAACUGUCAACGGGUCGUAUCCGUGAGGGAUUUGCGAAUGGCGAUGUGAUUGUCACUCUGCUGCCGGCCAACACCAAAUGGCCAUGGAUUACGCCAGCAAUAUUUCGCCCGGAGCUGGUGCCAGAGGAGUUGAUGGCCCAGGGUCUGACGCUCACCGUGGAGGACUAUGUAAAUGCAAUGGAGACGCUGGUGAAUGAUUACCGCUUCACGGUGUACAAUAUUUGCUACAAGCGCAUCCUCGUCUGCUGGAUCCUGUUCGCCUUCACCGUGCUGCUGGCACUGCUGUUCUCGGGCCUGCAGGGCGUGGCCCUGUUCGCACUGGGCGUGGGCUGGCUGUUCUUGAAUGCGGCGGCCAUAUUCCUGUGCAUGUGGGUGAAACUGCGGCUGUCGCGCGGCCUGGAGAAGUGUCUGGCCCGGGUGAACAAGCAGCUGAUGCGGCACAAGAUACUCCUGGUGCUGGAUGACCGAGGCCGCAUCUCGUGCCACAAGGUCAACCUCUGCUUCAUGUACUUCGAUGCCACGCAGUGCGUGAGUUUCCUCAACGAGUUCCUGGAGCACACGGAGCAGAACGGCGGCGAGGCCAUCAAGGCGGGCUGGGAGGCCAAGCUGGACAUUGAUCUGGACGAUAUUGUCAUCCAGGGCAGUCAGCCAGUGAGGAUGCCGCGCAAACAGGAGCGCGGUCUGCAGCUGUUCCUGCGCUACGCUUCCCGCUGGGGCAUGGAGGCGCUGAGGGGCCUGGUGGACGUCACACCCCUGGAGCCGGGCCGCCACUGUGGGCAGUUUCAGUGCCCCUGCCAGUACAUCAAAGAGCACUUGCAGUGCAAACCGCGAGCUGGCAGUCGUUUGUAUCUAUGCUGAUGGCCGAUGCAGAUAUUAUAUGCACAUUUUUCUGAUGGAGAGCUGCAGCUAUCUUGUUUUGUGGCCAUCAAAAGUGCCAGGGUUAGGAAGAGUGCGAGAGGGGAGGCUGGCAUGCCUGUGGGCGUGGCAAGCGCUGAUGGCCCGCACUUUGUGCAUUUCAUUGCAACGGAAAAAUGCGAGCACUGGUUGCCCUAACCAGAGGAAAUUGAGCAAUUGUAUUGCAAAUAGGGAAAUUCCUUCCCUUCCAUUAGCUGAUGCGCAACAACAACUUUU